GUUUUGCUUGAGAGAUAGCAGCGGAAAGUCCACAGCGAGGAACAAGCGAGGACCUGCAGCGGAUAGCCCGACCCCGG
rnacentral:sRNA from 1 species